CACCGCGGUUACACCAGCGGGCCCAAAUUGACAGUUAUCGGCGUAAAGUGUGGCCAGUAGAUACCCAAAACUAAAGCCAAACACUCUCCAAGCUGUCGCACGCACUAGAGAAGAGGAAGCCCCCUGACGAAAGUAGCUUUAAUUUCUAUGACCCACGUAAGCUAAGACA
rnacentral:rRNA from 1 species